rnacentral:rRNA from 1 species
UACGUAGGUGGCAAGCGUUGUUCGGAAUUAUUGGGCGUAAAGGGCGCGUAGGCGGCAUGUUAAGUCGGCUGUGAAAGCCUGGGGCUCAACCCCAGAGGGUCGGCCGAUACUGGCAAGCUAGAGUACGGAAGAGGUAGCUGGAAUUCCCGGUGUAGCGGUGAAAUGCGUAGAUAUUGGGAGGAACACCAGUGGCGAAGGCGGCUCACUGGACCGGUACUGACGCUGAGGCGCGAAAGCGUGGGGAGCAAACGGG